CAAUGCGACCCUUACAUACUAGUGGUAAUCCAUUCAAGAUAAACAAAGUAAACCAUAUGCUGAGGGAACACAUGUGCUAAACCGCAAUGAGAUUAUUUCAAUGGAAACGGUCCGUGUACGAGGGCAAGCAGUUAAAGAACUACCUGAAAUGCUUCCAUAACCUAAGUCGGAAUAUUCUUCAGCCUCUCAAUAAGGUAAAGGGUUCAGCGACACAAAGAAUGCGGAUAGAUAUCCAGAACACAUUUAUUUUAUUUUUACAUUUUAUUUUUGUAAAUAAAUUUUGAGAGGCUACAUCAGUUUCUCAGGGUGACAAAAACUGACGACGGCCACGGAUCCGCGUUUGAGAACAAGUUAUGAGUGCUUGAGAAACUAUAAUGAGUGCUUGAGAAUGUUUUCUCAGCAUGAGAAAGCCCCACGGCCCCUCGGCCUACUAUGUCUACCAGCAACAACCAAGACCACCAGAACGGUCUGAGCGAAAAAAUUGAUGAAAAUGAAUAAAUAAUUACAAAUUUUUUUAACAAAAUACAAGCAAUCAGUUGAUCGACGAAUCUUUAUGCUUUAAUGGCCAAAUAGUGUACUAUAACUCUUGAUUAUAGAAUAAAGAUAGAAUAAUAUAACAAUAGAAGUAUAAUAACAGAAGAUUAUAUAAGGGCGCCUGUUUUAAGCUUUUGCCGCUUCAAAUUCUACGGGUAGUACAAUUCAGAUUGUAGAUUACAAUCGAACAGGAUUCAUAUAAAAUCUUCCUGGCAGAAAACCCCAUAAUCGAGACAGUAGAAAUGUAUGUUUAAAGUAUGUGUAUUUUAUUGAAUUGAUCUUAAUUCCAAAUCCAUUAUCAGUUCUCUCAUUUCAACUGCUUUUGUAUAUCACGUCGACCCUUUAACCGCUAGCAGG